CCUACGGGAGGCAGCAGUGGGGAAUAUUGCUCAAUGGGCGAAAGCCUGAUGCAGCAAAGUCGCGUGAAGGAAGAAGGGUCUCGGCUCUUAAACCUUUAUCAACCGGGAAGAAAGUAAUGACGGUACCUGACUUAGCAGCCCCGGCUAACUACGUGCCAGCAGCCGCGGGAAUACGUAGGGGGCAGGCGUUAUCCGGAAUUCCUGGGUGUAAAGGGUGAGUAGGGGGGAUGGUAAGCCAGAUGUGAAAGACUUGGGCGUAACCCGAGGAUUGCAUUUGGAACUAUCAUGCUAGAGUACAGGAGAGGUAAGCGGAAUGCGUGGUGUAGCGGUGAAAUGCGUAGAUAUUAGGAAGAACACCGAUGGCGAAGGCAGCUUUCUGGACUGAAACUGACGCUGAGGCACGAAAGCGUGGGGAGCGAACAGGAUUAGAUACCCCAGUAGUC
rnacentral:rRNA from 1 species